rnacentral:rRNA from 1 species
AGCAGCCGCGGUAAUUCCAGCUCCAAUAGCGUAUAUUAAAGUUGUUGCAGUUAAAAGCUCGUAGUUGAAUUUCGGGGUUCAUCCGUUGGUCGGGCUUUUUGGUCUGUACUGGCGUGAUGGAUUCCUACCUUCUGAAUAACCGGCAUGCCAUUAAUUUGGUGCGCCGGGGAAGCAGGACUGUUACCUUGAAAAAUUAGAGUGCUUAAAGCAGGCUUAUGCCUGAAUACAUUAGCAUGGAAUAAUGAAAUAGGACGGCAUGGUUCUAUUUUGUUGGUUUCUAGGAUCACCGUAAUGAUUAAUAGGGAUAGUUGGGGGCAUUAGUAUUCAAUUGUCAGAGGUGAAAUUCUUGGAUUUAUUGAAGACUAACUUCUGCGAAAGCAUUUGCCAAGGAUGUUUUCAUUAAUCAAGAACGAAAGUUAGGGGAUCGAAGACGAUCAGAUACCGUCGUAGUCUUAACCAUAAACUAUGCCGACUAGGGAUCGGACGAUGUUAAUUUUUUCAAUGACUCGUUCGGCGCCUU